rnacentral:lncRNA from 1 species
AAUCAGGCAAAUAGUAAAAGUUUUCAAAUAUUAAAACUAAAAUGUUCAAAGUGUGGCAAAUAAUCUCUGGUUAAUUAUCAUGUUGGAACCAACCUCUUUUGUGAUUCAAAAGUGCCCCUGGAAAUUUAUUUAGUGGUCUGCCAACAUUUAAAAUUGGCCUUUCCAAUUUCUAGAAAUGAUUAGACAACUCAUUUUGGCCUCAAACAUUUUGUGACUCGUAGAAAUAAUGUGCUUGUUUUAUGAGGCAAGUCUCAUAUCUAACAAAACUGUUUAUAGUUUAAUUGAAAACAAUAGCAAAGUUUUAAAUAGAAAAUAAAAUGAAAAAGAGAACCCCCCUGGCCAACUGAGCCAACUGGUGCAGCUAGCCAACUGGCCGGCCCAGUCGGCCAGCCCACCCCGACCGGCCCAUCUCUCCUCGCAUAACCCCCCACCACCCGCAAACCCUAGCCCGCUACACCCCACUCCCCCCCAUCCACCUCUCCCUCUCGUUCUCUCGUUUUGGAUCGAGAGAUCCCCCUCACCUCUGCCCGACGCCCCUCGUCUCUACCCGGUGGCGCCGACGCCGUUCGACCCCGCCGGACCCUGCUGAACGCCUCCCCGUUCCUGCCACCACGCCAGCGCCCCGUCGAGGCCACUUCACCGCCGGACCUCGCCGUCCUCGUCCCGUUCCUGAAUCUGGAAGGACCCCCAACGCUCGCCGCCUCCCCGACCACAUCGCCGGACUGCUCCGCCCCGCCUCUCCAACACCGGCGCAGCCCUCGUUGCCGCCGUGCUCCGCCACCUCGCUAGCGCCGCUCCACCACCUCUCCCGGACGGCUACCUCGCGCUUCGAAGAGCCGAUCCCCUGCAACGGAUGUGAGCAACCCUCGCCUCGCCCUCUGAUUCCCCCGUCGUAGACGUUGUAGCCGUCGUCGCCGCGUUGGCCGCCCGUGCCCAGUCACUGCCCUCGCCGCGUCGUUGCUGCGGCUGCUGUCCGCGCGCAGCCGCGCCAACCCAGCCUCCACCUGGACAUGCCCUGACGCCGCCCUCGUCGCUCCACGGCGUCCGGGCUCUUGCCGCUGGCCGCGCCCCCCCUCCAUUCUGCGGUGGCCGGUGGCCUCGCUGGAGGCCGCGCCCGGCCGCGGAGCCCGAGCCCCCUGGUGCCGUGCGUGCCCAGGUCCGGCCUCCUCGGGCGCCCGCCCGUUAACCCUUGCCCACUUCGCCCGGUUGCCCCCUGGGCCUAUGACAGUGGGGCCCGCCCCCAAAACGUUUAGAAGAAAAUGUAUUUUAAAAAAAUAAAAUUAAUUAAUUAAGUAAUUAGUUAAUUAAUUAAAUAAGUAGGUAAUUAAUUAACUUUAUUAACUCUGUCUAGUACCUAUUUAACUUGAUUAGUUAAUUAAAACUGUUAAUUAGAUGUUAGACUAUGACAGGAUGGCCCCACAUGUCAGGUUUGACUUUAGUUAACUCUGUUGACUGCUGACGUCAUGAUGACGUCCUGUUGAUGCAAUAACCCCAUUUUAGAUUUAAUAAUAAUUUCAGAAUAGAUUUUAAAACUUUGAAAAAUCAUAGAAGUUAAUCCAUAGCUCGAAUGAAAAAGUUUUAUACAAGAAAGUUGCUCAGAACGACGAGACGAAUCCGGAUACGCGGUCCGUUCGUCCUCCACACAUCCCUAACAUAGAGAACCUGCAGCUUUCCCCCUCCGUUUCAUCUGUCCGAAAAAUGCAAACAUCGGGAAAUCUUUCCCGGAUGUUUCCCCCCUUCCACGGUACCGCGUUAGAACACGUCUAGCUCUGCUUGUUGUCCUGUUAUGCACUUGCUUACUAUGUAUUUACUGUUUCUUCCCCCUCUUCUCUCCGGUAGACCCCGUGACGAUGUUGAUGUCCCUGUGGUCGACUACGUCACUGACGACCCCUCCUUGUCUGAGCAACCAGGCAAGCCCCCCCUGAUCACCAGAUAUCGCCUACUCUCCUCUAUACUGCUUGCAUUAGAGUAGUGUAACAUGUUACUGUUUUCGUUAUUCCUAUCCUGAUGCAUAGCCUGUCCUUGCUACUACUGUUGAUACCUUGACCUGCAAUCCUACUUGCUUAGUAUAGGAUGCUAGUAUUUCCAUCUGUGGCCCUACACUCUUGUCCAUCUGAUGUGCUAUACUAUCGGGCCGUGAUCACUCGGGAGGUGAUCGUGGGUUUAUACUAUGUACUUUAUACUUGAUACAUGUGGUGAUUAAAGACGGGUCGGCUCGUAGGAGCACCCGCGAGUGGAUCUUUGAGGCGGAGCGACAGGGCAGGUUCAGACCACCUAGGAGAGAGGUGGGCCUGGCCCUGGUCAGCGUUCGCAGAUACUUAAUACGCUAAACGAGAUCUGGGUAUUUGAUAUGAGUCUGGCCAUCUGGCUUAUACGCACUAACCAUCUAAGCGGGAGUAGUUAUGAGUAUCCCGGCGUCGUGGUAUCAGCCGAAGCCUUCGUGACGUCAUCGACUGAGCGGCGCGCGCCAGAUUGGAACGUAAGCCUGCUCUUGUAUUAAGGGGGCUAGUUCUGCUUCCGGCCGCGUUCGCAACGUGCAGGUGUGCUAAGGGCGAUGGGCCCAGACCCCUGGGCGCUUAGGUUUAGACCGGCGUGCUGACCUCUCUGUUGGUCUAGGUGGGGCUGCGACGUGUUGAUCUUCCGAGGCCGGGCAUGACCCAGGAAAGUGUGUCCGGCCAAAUGGGAUCGAUCGUGUUGGGGUAUGUGGUGCACCCCUGCAGGGAAGUUAAUCUAUUCGAAUAGCCGUGAUCUUCGGUAACAGGACGAUUUGGAGUUGUACCUUGACCUUAUGACAACUAGAACCGGAUACUUAAUAAAACACACCCUUCCAAGUGCCAGAUACAACCGGUGGUCGCUCUCUCACAGGGCGACGAGGGGAGGAUCAUCGGUUAGGGUUAUGCUAUGCGAUGCUACUUGGAGGUCUUCAGUCUACUCUCUUCUACAUGCUGCAAGACGGAGGCUGCCAGAAGCGUAGUCUUCGAAAGGACUAGCUAUCCCCCUCUUAUUCCGGCUUUUUGCAGUCCAGUCCUCAUAUAAUAGCCUUAUUCCAGUUGAUACCAAUGCAUACAUAUGUAGUGUAGCUCCUUGCUUGCAAGUACUUUGGAUGAGUACUCAUGGUUGCUUUCUCCCUCUUUUCCCCCCUAUCCCUUCUACUUGGUAGUCGCAACCAGAUGUUGGAGCCCAGGAGCCAGACGCCACCUUCGGCGACGACUCCUACUACACCGGAGGUGCCUACUACUACGUGAUGCCCGCUGACGAUGACCAGGAGUAGUUAGGAGGAUCCCAGGCAGGAGGCAUGCGUCUCUUUCGAUCUGUAUCCCAGUUUGUGCUAGCCUUCUUAAGGCAAACUUGUUUAACUUAUGUCUGUACUCAGAUAUUGUUGCUUCCGCUGACUCGUCUAUGAUCGAGCUCUUGUAUUCGAGCCCUCGAGGCCCCUGGCUUGUAAUAUGAUGCUUGUAUGACUUAUUUUAUUUGUAGAGUUGUGUUGUGAUAUCUUCCCGUGAGUCCUUGAUCUUGAUCGUACACAUUUACGUGCAUGAUUAGUGUACGGUCAAAUCAGGGGCGUCACAAGUUGGUAUCAGAGCCGACUGCCUGUAGGAAUCCCCCUUUCCAACUCCUUGGCCGAAGUUGAGUCUAGGCAUUGCAAAACUUUUACUAAUUUGGCUGUGUGUCUUACGGGCACACGUCGCCAUCGGGUGGUAGUAGGAUCUUUUACUCCUUGACCUAUACUCUGGGGCUCUGACAUCUCUUCUAUUCGGGUUAAAUGAUUUUGCUAAAAUCCAACUCUAGGUUCUCGUUACCACUUCCUGCCGGAGAGCCCUUUAAUACGGAUGAUCGACUGCUUCAACGAAAGAUUCUGACAAUACUCUCGGAUGUUCCCUCGAUACUUUGUGCCAUCCCUCUUGCAAUUCCCCUUCCACCGUAAACCCUUAAGGAUAACUACUUACAGUUGUUAUUCUUACAUUCAUCCACAGAUGGUCUUGUUGUUACAAGAUACCCCGAAACACUCGUCGUUGUUUCGAUAAUCCUUUGAGCUCACUGCCUUGCAGUUCUUGACACAUGAAUAUCCCUACGGAUAAUUUCUCACACUUACCAAGUAUCCACUCAUCCCCAGUUGAUUCAUGUAUGUCAUCAAUCUUCGAAAUACCAUUCGAUCUUCCAAAAAUCCUCAGGAGCCUAUUGCUCUUGAAAUUCUUGCUUGCUUACAUUUUGGUUAAUCCCAUAAGUCUAGUAAUCUUAUUGGCAACCUUUGCCACUACCCUUUUGAGUCCAUUGAUUCAAUAAGAUGCGAAUGCUCGCAUUCCUCAGUCGAAUCCUUGAAUUCAUCCUUCCGACUCAGUGUCAAUUUGUACAUGAGCUGGAUCUCGACCAAUCAAAUUUCCAUCGAUUGUACCCCUAAGCCUACUCAACUUAUCCAUCCUUGAUCAGAGCGUUGCUUCUGAUCCCCUGAUUUGGAAAUCAUAAUUCUUUUGCAUGUGAACUUUGAAUUAGUUAGUUGUUUCUAUAAUCAGAUCUACUUGCAUUCUUCUUCCUCUGGUUGAGUACCGAUGCUCACAUCAUAUCCCUUGUGGACCAUCGGUUCCUUUGUUGGAUUUUAUCCGACAGUGUGCUUCAUAUUGAAUAACCUUGUGAGCCUUUCCAUGGGUAUAUAAUGCCUUUGGUAAAUUGUAUCAUCUGCUUUUGAUCAAUGCUCUACUUUCGAGCUUGUGUUAAUUACUUCAAAAAAUUUGUGGUAUAUGUUCCUAAGAUACCUCGAUGGGUUGGACAUAUGCUUUUUUUUUCUUUCUAAUCUGUGUGAACUCGGAAACUACUACGGGUCAUACUCUACUGGUGUUAUGUCAGAUAAAUAUUUCAACACCACAACUUCGUUGAAAGCGAGAAGUGAAUGAAAGGUUAUGCAUUAAAGAAGUGGGAGUCGACCUUGAACUUUGUGUUCAUGCCCAUGGACACGAUGUAGAUCUUAACAUUAAAGCUUAUUUUAAAUUAAAUUAUUCCUUUGGUAUAAGUUCAUCUUAUAUCCGGGAUCUGGCCUUUUGCAAUAGUGUUUCCGACCAUGUUCUCCUUUAAAUACCAUUUCUCGGACAAGUUGAAGUAAUUAUCUUCUACAGAUCAUUGCACCCAACCAACCUUUACUUUGAUCUACCGUCGUGUAUUACACUCUGGUAUCUCAAGAAUAUCAUAGAACUGCAUAACUUCUUAUGGGUUCUUCACCAACUAUUAUUUCUCACUGACUCCAAUUUUCCCGGGUUCUGGGUUGUCAUCAACCGAGGACACCAAUAAGUGAAUCGAUUCCGCACUCUGGUUCAAUAACUCUUAAAUAAUUGUUGUUGCUUACAAGUUAAUAAUCACUUAAGUCAUUCCUAGCCUGAUCGGCUAUAUCAUCAUGGUGCUAAAUUUUAACUGUGCUACUUGGCCCUUCUUCACGGAGCACAAUUCUUGAAGAUGAGCUAAGCUUACGUCGAUUUUCCUCAUCAUAUCAUUUCGCCUUGAACCGCAAGCUUGAUUUCGAGUUUGUGUCUUAACCAUGGUUCCAAUAACCUUCCGUUUAUCAUUCGUUUGACUAGAUGUCAUCACCGAUUGAUUACAUCUUCAUGAAAUCUCUCGACAAAUGUGUCAUGAUCAUCAUCAGCAUUCCGAGCUCUUCCAAGAUAUCAAUUGAGGUCAUGAUGAUAAAUACCAUCCUUGCCCUCGAUGAUUUGUGUUACCAUCGACCACUUUAUUGACUUCCCUCCAGAACAAACUUGUUCGUGUUUUGUGUUAUACCUUGAGUUCCUUGCUAUCCCGCAUUGUUCUUCUUUACCUUGGGGUAUUACUAUCUUUAAUGUCAAGAAAGUCGUGAGGAUUUCAUCACCUCUUAAGGAUUCUUGAUACAGGUAAUACUUCUCACCAUCACCUUUCUUUCUUGGUCCCCGUGUUGGUUCUAACCGGGAUUCCAACAAGUGAACGGUACUGCGUGGAUUUUGUACUUCUAACAACCCUAUUGCUUUGAAGUUGAUGGUCGAUAGUUCAUUCUUAGACUGUUGGUUGUUGAACCACCAUUUUAACGUUGAUCAUGCUACCUAAGCCCAUCUUUCGGGUGCACCUUUCAAUCAAUGUUCAAUUGUGUAUGCUUUCCUCGAGCAUACAUCAUUAUAUUAUAUCAUUUGAUCUGACAAAUGUUACCUCCUUGUUCACAUAAUUGUGGAAACCCAUCCUUUCGAAAUCUCGAUGAAUUGUCACUGAGUUCAUCAACUACCUCCUUAUUCCUUCAUUGGUUUAAUGAUGAGCUCUUGUUUUGGAACUCCCUUCCAUAGUACAUUUCCCGAGAAUCUUACAAUGUCUUCUCGUCAAAUUGUGUUGCACCUAUUUUUCUCAGGUAUCCAAAUGUCUGAGGUAUCCUGACACCAACCAGAUCUGAAUUUCGGCCAGAUAUGAUGGUUGGAACAUAUUCCCAAGAGUUAUAACAUUGGUCUUUAUAUGACCCGAUAAGGUGAUGUCAUGCCUAGCACACCUGACCGGAGGACCUAUUGUUAUAGUUUCCUUUUGGCAAGGUUAGUCAUUCUUCCGUGAGGAAAUUGUAAGACUUAUUCUAUAAGUUGUUCCUGAUGGAUCCUUUUUGUCUCCAAAGUCCGAUCUUCACAUGUUGACCAUGUCAAUGCUAUCUCAAAGCAUGUAUGUGGUACUCUGAUUUUCAACAAGAACAUUUGAAGCCUAAUGCUAAAUGUUACUUUCUCAAUUAUCCAAACACCGUUGUAUGGGCAAUGUCAUGAAAAUUCUCUCCCGUACCUAAAGAGUUUUCUACAUUAUAUCCUGCCAAGGAUAUCAUGCUCUGCUUGUCCUUGGGAAGGAUAUACCCCUGAUAUAUGUGUUAAAACACAUUUUCCUUUCCAUUAAUUGGUUUAACCUUUCUUGUGAUCUAUAUGAUCUAAGCAGUAAUAUUCUCCUGCUUAUGUAUAUACCUCGGUGUACAAUUCUGUCAGCAAGACCCUGUUACUAUUGUUGAUGACAUUUCGGUAGCCACCGAUGGACGAGAACCUUGCCUACUGGCCCGCCUCGUUUCAACGAGCAGGAAAGUGGUUCUCUUCGCCCCUCGCCCUUGGUACCGAUGUUGUUGCCGACAUAACUAACAGGCUAUCCCCUGACAUGCCUUGCUUACAUGAUCGUGCAAGACGUCACCGCCCUUCCUACUUUUACCCCACAUGGUGGGCCCAUAACCCACAGUUCCACAGAAUCGAAACCUAACUCUCUUGUACACCCAUGUUGCCAAAGUUAUUCCUAGAGCUUGACUUCGUAUGUAGUUCACGGGCCACUUGCCUAGUGAUCUAUUCUGGUAUCAGACGCAAUAAUUAUUCCCAUUGCUUUGAACCCCUUUCACAUUCCUUUUCAGGCAUCGAACGAUUGUCUAUCCGCUUGGAACUCCUUGUUGUACCUACUUACCUUGCUCUCGAUUUGUGCAACUCGAGAGAUACUCAUCUGUUCAUUCACGGGAAAACCCCAGACGAUUACCCUUUAUAGCAUUCUACCGUUGAUGAGCUGUCCCUUGCCUAUCCGUAAGAAUGAUGGAGAUCCUGGAGAAAGGAUGCCAGCUUCAUCGUGAUGACCUGAAACAGAGAAAUUAAGACAUCAACGUAAUGGAUCGAUCUCUUCGAGAAGAGCAGCCAAUAUCGAGAAGACCCGCUAUAUUCAUAACCAAAACCUUUCCCCCUUUCACUACCUCUUAAAUCUCGGGACGAGAUUUCUUGUAGUAGAGGAGAAUUGUGACGCCCAGAUAAUUAAGCUACAGUAAACCUCUGCUAAUGAUGCCACGCCAUCGCGGUUACUGUUGUUAAUCUCACGUUAGUUCAAACCGAUUCAAAUUCAAAUUCAAAAUCAGGCAAAUAGUAAAAGUUUUCAAAUAUUAAAACUAAAAUGUUCAAAGUGUGGCAAAUAAUCUCUGGUUAAUUAUCAUGUUGGAACCAACCUCUUUUGUGAUUCAAAAGUGCCCCUGGAAAUUUAUUUAGCAGUCUGCCAACAUUUAAAAUUGGCCUUUCCAAUUUCUAGAAAUGAUUAGACAACUCAUCUUGGCCUCGAACAUUUUGUGACUCGUAGAAAUAAUGUGCUUGUUUUAUGAGGCAAGUCUCAUAUCUAACAAAACUGUUUACAGUUUAAUUGAAAACAAUAGCAAAGUUUUAAAUAGAAAAUAAAAUGAAAAA